AUGGCGCACCAGAUCCCCAAGGUCGCCCACACCCUCGUCGAGAUCGCCGAGGUCGCGCGCUACGCCUACGAGCACCGCUCCGGCCACGCCCCGGACCACGACGGCGCCACGGCGCUGGCCGCCGACGGGGAGGAGGCCGCGCGGCUGCGGGCGGAGAACGCCGUCCUGCGCGCCCGCCUCGCGGACGACCUCGCCCUCCUUCGCGAGCUUCAGGGCGCACACUUUGUUUCCCAGGAGUGCCCUCCCGACUUGCAUAAUCGUCUUGUAGCAUCAGUCAACAAUGCUGGCUUCCUUGCCCAUCUCGAGAAAGUACGAGACGAGCCGCUGCAUCAACAUACCAAACUGUCUAUUGGCGGUGUGACAGAGGUGGACAUUGGAGAUAUUCCUUACACUAAAGAUGAGGGGAAGACUGGCUCAUGGCUCUUGGUUUCCUGUGAUACUGCUGGGGGCAAUCUGGAGGAAAUUAGUGGAAUUGAUGACGAAAAUUAUGUGAUGGUUAAUGAAGAUGACAUCGUCGAUGCUAUCGCUACCUUUGUUGCUAGGUGCAUUCUUGAAGAUCCAAAGUCCAAGUCAUUGUCAUCGAAAGAGCUGCAAAAAGCUGUUGCAACGGCAUUGAGCAGCAUGACAGACAGGAAGAAAUGGAUAAGUUUCUGGGAGGCUGGAAAGGUGAUCUACAUACUGGCAACUUGGGGGAUCACAAUAGCAGGGCUGUACAGGAGUCGUGCCGUCCUGAAGAUGGCAGCCAAAGGAGCUGUCGUCUCCACCAAAUUUAUCAUGAAGGCAUUGUGA
rnacentral:rRNA from 1 species